rnacentral:tRNA from 1 species
UAGUGGCCGAUUUAAGGUAUUAGUCUCUUAAAUUAAUUAUGGAUUAUUAUAGU